GGCCCCACCGCACGCUGAGGGCCCGACCCGGGGCGGCCGCCUCCCGCUCUUUGUGACACAGAGGGGAAAGAGAAGGGACCUGUUGAAACUCAUUCACCUCCCUUACUCGGUGCAGCGAUUCCACUCUGCUUUAGAGCACUGGCUUCAAGGGGAGGAGGUCUCUCCGCAUCCGCUGGCAAUGGCUGAAAGUCAGCAGCUAGCACUGCACAGGCAGCUCUCUCUCUCAGGGAAAAGCAGCGAGCCUGCCAUGAAAGCCAGGCUCACACACGGUGCCCAGCGCCUCUGUGAGCUCCGUGCCCCGGGACGCGCCCCUUCCCUCGCCCUCACCGAGCUCUCCCGCGCCGCUGCUCCUGAGGGCCGCCCGAACACCUGCAGCUCCCGACAAACACUGAUCCCACAGUGUCAAAACCCAGAGGAAUGGAAACAGCAAAGAACCACCAGCUUUUGCCAAUCCACGCAAGACUUAGACCAUUAAGCUUAAAAACACAGCAAGCUGUACUUGCCAUGACUCCCAGAGCGAUGCCAGGAGUGCUACAAAGCCUUGCCGAGACCACCAGAUGGUGCUAAUGCUUCGCUCUCAAUUUAAUCCCGCCACCGCUCCUCUUGCAGAAACUUUAUUGCAAUUGACAGUAGCAGAGAGGAUUUAUCAAUCAAGCAGGGAUGGCACCCCAUUCUUGCAAAGAUGGCCAUGGAAAAACCUGUGUCUAACAACACGUACCUGACAGAGGGCAACAAUUCUGCUGUUAUUACAGGGCCAAAUAUGAGUGGGAAAUCAACAUCCCUGAAAAAGAUGACUGUCUGUCAAGUUAUGGCACAGACUGGUGUUUACAGUGAUUGCUACACAUGUCCUGGAACUGUCAUACAAACACUUUAUAUCCCAGCUUGGAAAACUACCAUUUUGAAGUGCAACAUGUGAGAAGCAGUGCUGGAAAUAGGGAGAAAAUUGCUUACACUUCGACACUUCCUAAAGGAUACACAGAGGAAAAGAACUACGGCAACGGAUUCCACCCUGACUUACAGUCGGCAGAAGUUACACCAGAUACUAUUUCAGUUAUUAGGCACCUAACAGUAUUUUUUUCUGAUGACAGGUUUGUCUUGAGUUUGUGUCUCUCUCAAAGAGAGAGAUACAGAGAUCUGCAGAGCUAUAAUUUGUUCCAAAUAAAUUGCAUGUUUUAAGUAACCAUGUAGAGAGACAGUGGUUUCGGGUAGUAUGAAGAACUUAUGUGACAUUUCAUAAAAAAGAAAAAACAUCUUACUGAUGUUGGUACCUCCUUGAUUCAUGUCUGUCUGAAUGAGUUAGUAAUUCUGAGCAUGAGCUACUCGAGUUCAUUUCAUCUGCACUUAGGGAAGGGAAUGAAUGCUCUGGAGAGACUUAAAGAUGUUUCUGCCAUAAGCUGUGAUGUGACUGGUUAACAGCAGGUUGGCCCUUUUUGAUCAGCAAAAAGGAAUUGAGAUUCUAUAAACCAGGAGAGGAAGUUUAUGGUCUAUUAGGCUAAGACAGUUAUGAGUGGGUCUACAAAAGCAUCAAUGUUCUCUGAAAAGUGGAUUUCAUUCUCUUUUAGACUAAAUUGUAGUGUAGAUUGUACAGAUUGAUUAAUUACAGGUCAGUAAAGAAAAGAGUGAAUGAGAGAGAUUUAAAGAAAUCCAUAUGUUUCCAAAUACUAGAUUUGGAUGUUGAUUCCUUGAUUUAAUUAACGUUUAAUCAAAAGGUAAUUAGCUACACGUGACUUUUGUAAGGUAUUCGCAACCAAAGACUAGAAAAUAUUCCACUUAAUCUUCAAGUAACAGGACUUAAAAACUUUUCUUGAUCAGAAUUUCAGAAUAAGGUUGUUUAACUUGGGCAGCACGUGCUCCAUAUUAGAUGCUUCACCACCACUAACUCCAAAGAAUUGUACAUUUAGAGAGUUAGCUCUGAGAACAGGAGAUGUUUGGGAAAUCAGUGUUUGUGUCUUGGCUUUACCUUGAGCAAAUUCACGUUCUAAGAAAGGGUCCAAGGGCUUUUCACGGCCCUUUUUCAUUUUUAAACCUGCCAUAUUGAGCCACCCAAUGUGCCACAGACUUUCCAAAGGUACAAACAAAGGAAAAAGUUAAAAAAUCAUGUUGGAGCAGGAAAAAGUAUUUCCAUCUCUUUCUUACCCUGAGGAUCUGGAUGUUUAGCUGUUGGCAACAAAGAAGUUGAAAAAUGACAUCCAUAUCCACCUGGAUGUCUGGGUAUAAUUGAGAGUGUGCUUAGCAAAACCUCUAUAUUUUCUGCCAAAUUAAAAAACGGAGCCAAGAAA